GUGGUUGUGUGGGGUGGGUUAAAUGAAGGGAAAGGUAUGUCCUUUGGAAGAGAAGGCAAUACUGGUUUUGGGAGUGAUGGCAAUUCGGGUACUUUGGGAAGUUCUGGUUUAGGAAUAUUUGGUAAUUCGGGCAAUUUAGGGAGUUCUGGUUUUGGUAAGUUUGGUAGUUCAGGUAGUUUUGGGAGUUCAGGUUUUGGUAGAUGAUCGGGAACUUCAGCAAGUUUAGGGAGAUCAAACUUAGGCAUGGUUGGAAUUUCAGGAACUUUGGAGUGAUCAAAGUUAGGUACUUUUGGUAAUUCAGGCAACUUUGGAAGUUCAGGCUUUGGCAAUUCAGGGACUUUAGGCUUUUCUAGAGGUGGAAGAUGAGGCAGUGGAGGUAACUCAACUUUCGGUAGUGGAGGAAGCUCUGACUUUGGCAAAGUGGGUAUUUCAGGCUUUGGAAGCCCUUCAGGUCCAUGAGGUAUUGGCGUCUCCAAGAGAUGCCUUGCGCUCACUGACAUAAUAAGAAAAUCAAAGCUCAUGGUGACUAUAAGAAUACCAAGUACCAAAGAAGCUUUAAGGGUUGAUAAGGGACGA
rnacentral:lncRNA from 1 species